CGGGGUGUGGCGCAGCCCGGUAGCGCACCUGCUUUGGGAGCAGGGGGUCGCCGGUUCGAAUCCGGCCACCCCGACCA
rnacentral:tRNA from 1 species